AAUUAGAAGAUAAUUUUUUUAUAAUUUUUACAAUUCUUAUUUCUUACUUUCUUUUUCCCUUUCUUUUCUUUCCUUCCAUCAGACCCAUCUAUCAACCCCUACGAGAACUCUUUAUCUCAAUUUGAGGUCUUCAAUUCUCGUGCUAUCUCUUGCUACUCUUUGGUUUGAUUUCAUUAUAGUCGCCUUAUUAAUUUAAUUGCUUUGUUUUUUAUCAUUUAUUUUGUUUUAAAACAAUUUACUAAUAAUCGGUUGAAUAUUGAGAAAUUAUGUUUCCUUUUUUUAUUGGUUUUCUUAUGAAUCUUUGGUCAACUCUAUCCUCACUGUGAAUCUUCAUGGAUGACUUUUGGAUUCAUCAGUCGAGAAAAAUUAAAGAUUGGUUUAAUACUUAUUAAUUAUUUAUAUUCUUUUCGUAUAUUAGGUUCCAUUGAUUCAAUUUAAAAGCCAUCGGAAAUCACAUCUCGAGUCUCAAUGGAAAAUUCACCUAAAUCAUUUGGAAAUCGCUGAAUCUAAUGUGUGAAAAACGCUGGAUUGUAACCUUAAUCUAACAACAAUCUCACUAUCAAGAAGAGCGAAAGGCCAACAGUAGAAGAACAAAAGAGACUUGAUUAGAGCAAAUGUUAUUCGUUACAUCUCAUUUCGCUACCAAUCAUGAUUAUAAAUUUCCUAUUGAUUCAGGUAAAUGUAAUUAUUAAUCGUGAAUGAUCGCAACCAGCCAAUUUAUACCUAAUGGAACAUAAUGGAACGGCCAAGAGAUACAAUGUUUCACCUUACCGUGAUUAAAAUACAACAAGGGAACAUAAAGUCAACAUGAAGCGAAAACAUAAGACAAAAAAGAAAGAAAAGGUCAAAUAAAGUCUCCAUCUUAAACCCAGUGAAUGAUGAACCUUUAAAAGGUUAACCUUGACCGUUAUUUGACUAUUGAGCUACAAAAAAGAGGAAACGACACUUUUAAUUUCAACAGUAACCUUCAACUUUCCCUUUGAGGUUAAAAAAGUAAACAGUGGAUUUAAGCGAAUAACCGAAUGAUGGAAAAAAGCUAAAUACAGAUUUCAUUGGCAUCUUUAACCUCAUCUUCAGCCUCAUCAUUAUCUUCAUAACCAUUACCUAAACUCAACCCUAAUCAAUUUGAUGUAAACUGAAAGUGUCAUUAUAAAUCAUCAAUACCCCAAUCUAACGUCCGAAUUGAAUGGUUGAUCGCAGCUGACAAACACUUUAACCAGUUUUCUUUUUCCUGAUUGCCUGUUAAUUUCAAGUUAUCAUUUCGCAUUUUAUUACGAUUAAUUAAUGCAAAAUCUCUGAGCCUACCAUUGAAAUAAUUACUAGCCUUUGUACAUAUAAUAAGAUGAUAAUAGCAGAUGAAAAAUGGCAGAAGAAAAAAACUGACAGAAAUUUUGGACCUUUCCGCCAGUUUUAAGGUUAACUUGUAAUUUCAAUUUUGUCUCAUUAAUUUUAUACAAGCUUGCGUUAAAUGUGUGAAUCUUUAAUUGCACUGCACAAAAAAGACUUGAAGAUGGUCCAUAAUUAAUGGCGAAUUUAAGCUUAUUUAAACGAACAACUCUUAAUUUCGCCAUUAUUAUUAUUAACCUUUGCGGGCUCAAGUUGAUCAAGAUAAUGAGAUGAAUUUUAAACUGAAAAUUGACCAAUUUUUGUACAAUUUUUUGAGAAAACUUUUUGUUUCCAAUUUCACCAUUUAAUUGUUUCUUUUACCUUCAACAAUUAUUAAUGACUUUUUUAAGUUGAAAAGGUUUCAUUGUUGGUUAGUUAAUGAUUCCUGAUUGUAUCAGGCUUCACCAUUAACAACAAUUUGACAAUAUUAAGUGGACAAUUAAUAGCUUUCAAUAAUGAUGAUUAAUGAAAUUGUAAUGAAAAGAAUUGGAAAAAUUGGUUAAAAUCGAGUGAAACAAAGAAAGAGAAUCGCAAAUUGAGUAAUUCAAGAUCGCCAUUUUUGCUUAUUUCCAAGGUGAUGAUGUCGAUGCUAAAGAUGAAGAUGAAGAUGAGGAUGAGGAUGAGGAUGAGGAUGAAGAAGAAGAGAAAGAGAAGAAAGAGAGAAGAAAAGAAUAGAAAGUGAAUGAUUGAAGUUGGCCUAUAAAAAGUCGAGGACUGCGCUGUUUGAGUUCAACUUUUAUUUAUCUCAUUGGUUUUCAACAUUAUCUAUAAAAUUAUUUUUACAAUUUAUCAGUUUACAUCAUUUCCAUCAUUUCAUUGAAUCAACAAAAUCAAUCAAUUUUUAUUCAAUGUUUCAAAAUUGUGUGAUUUGUGAUUUUCUUUUCGGUAUUUCUCGUUCAAUUGUCCAUUGCUAUUGAUUUACUAUUUUUGCCAUUCCAUUUUCGCCCGACGAUUCUUCAGUUGGUUGGUUCAAGUGUUCCGUGUUUCAUGAUCGACUUUGCUUUUUAUCAACAAUGAUCAAGUUAAUUAUUUGUUCAAUGUUUCAAUUUAAUCAUUACCAAUUUGUUCAAGAGUUAAUCUUCUUUUCACCAUUUCAAUUUUCCCUCACAUCUACUCAACAUUAUUGCAGAGCAAGUUAAUCAACUGGCAUUUUCAAUUGAUCAAGAAUAACAAGCAUCGCACUGUCAAAUCAUUAUCAAGUUUAAACCCAACCUUUCAGUUCAUCCAUUUCAUUGUCAAAUGGCAAUUCUUAUUCAAUAUCAUUGGAUUUACCAAAUCUUGAUGCAAUAACCCUGCGAUUCUGACCAAUACAUAAUUCUGUCGAUUCCUUUCAAUUCAAAUUGAACCAAGAUACCAACUGAAAGGAAAAUUCAAAUAAGAAAAGCACUGUUGAAACAAUAAUCUUUCGAUGAGUUCAAUUGGAGUUUCUAAAGAGAUAGACAUUAGAUUAGACUUGAAUGGUUCCAUUGAUUCAAUCUUAAAGACCUGGCAAUUGCAUCUCGAGUCCUAAUAUAAAAUUUACCUAAAUCAUUUGGAAAAUGCCGAGAAAGUAAUACAAAAGUGUGGAUUAAAGCUGUGGUAAAAAAGAGACAUGGUUUUGUAAUAAAUCUAAUGCGUGCAAAACGUUGGAUUGUAACGUUAAUCUAACAACCAAUCUCACUAUCAAGAAAAGCGAAAGGCCAAACAAAAGAAGAACAAAAGAGACUUAAUUAAAAGCAAAUGUUAAAUUUAAAAUAUAUUCAGGUAAAUGUAAUUAAUGAUCGUGAAUAAUCGCAACCAGCCAACAUACAUUAAAGGAACAGCCAAGAGGUACAAUGUUUCACCUUACCGUGAUUAAAAUACAACAAGGGAACAUAAAACCAAAGAGGAACCAAAGAGGAACCAAAAAGGAAACAAAAAAGAAACAAAAGCUCAAAUAAAGAUUCCAUCUUAAACCCAGUGAAUGAUGAACCUUUAAAAGAUUAACCUUGACCGUUAUUUGACUAUUGAGCCACAAAAAAAGAGGAAAAGUAACCUUCAACUUUCCCUUUGGUUAACAAAUUAAACAGUGGACUCAAGCAAAUAACCAAUCAUUGAAAGACACAAGAAAAAUUUAAUAAUACGAUGGAAAAAAGCUGAAUACAGAUUUCAUCAUUAUCUUCAUGACCAUUACCUGAACUCAACCUUAAUCAAUUAGAUGCAAACUGAAAGUGUCAUUAUAAAUCAUCAAUACCCCAGUCUAACGUCCGAAUUGGAUGGUUGAUCGCAGUUGCCAAACACUUUAACCACUUUUCCUUUUCCUGGAUGCCUGUUAAUUUCAAGUUAUCAUUUCGCAUUUUAUUACAUUUAACUAAUGCAAAAUCUGUGAGCCUACCAUUGAAAUAAUUGCUAUCCUUUGUAUAGAUAAUAAGAUGAUAAUAGCAGAUGAAAAAUGGCAGAAGAAAAAAAACUGACAAACAUUUUGGACCUUUUUUCAGUUUUAAGAUUCAGGUAAAUGAAAAACCGUAAAUAAUCACAACCAGCCAACAUAUACAAUGGUAGUAAUGGAACAGCCAAGAGAUACAAUGUUUCACCUUACCGUGAUUUAAAUACAACAAGGGAACAUCAAGUCAACAUAAAACCAAAGAGGAACCAAAAAUGAAACAAAAGGCCAAAUGAAGUCUCAAUCUUAGUAAGUGAUGAACAUCUACAAGGUUAACCUUGACCGUUAUCUGACUAUUGAGCCACAAAAAAGAGGAAAAGUAACCUUCAACUUUCCCUUUGAGGUUAACAAAGUAAACAGUGGAUGUAAGCAAAUAACCAAACAUUGGAAGGCAAAAGUAACAUUUAAUAAGACGAUGGAAAAAGGCUAAAUACAGAUUUCAUUGGCAUCCUUAACCUCAUCUUCAGCCUCAUCAUUAUCUUCAUAACCAUUACCUAAACUCAACCCUAAUCAAUUUGAUGUAAACUGAAAGUGUCAUUAUAAAUCAUCAAUACCCCAAUCUAACGUCCGAAUUGAAUGGUUGAUCGCAGCUGACAAACACUUUAAGCAGUUUUCCUUUUCCUGGAUGCCUGUUAAUUUCAAGUUAUCAUUUCGCAUUUUAUUACAAUUAAUUAAUGCGAAAUCUCUGAGCCUACCAUUGAAAUAAUUGCUAGCCUUUAAACAUAAUACGAUGUACGUAAUAAGAUGAUAAUAGCAGAUGAAAAAUGGCAGAAGAAAAAAGACGGACAGACAUUUUGGACCUUUUUUCAGUUUUAAGGAAACAUGCAAGUUAAACUUGUAAUUUCAAUUUCCUCUCAUUAAUUUUAAUCAAGCUUGCGUUAAAUGUGUGAAUCUUUAAUUGCUAAACAUAAAAAAGACUUGAUGGUGAAGAUGUUUCAUAAUUACUGGCGCAUUUAAGCUCAUUUAAACGAUCAACUCUUUAUCUCGCCAUUAACCUCCGUGGGUAGCAACUUGAUCAAGAUAAUGAGAUGAAUUUUAAACUGAAAAUUGACCAAUUUUUGAGAAUUUUUUUUGAGAAAAACUUUUUGUUUCCGAUUUCACCAUUUAAUUGUUUCUUUUACCUUCAACAAUUAUUAAUGACUUUUUUAAGUUGAAAAGGUUUCAUUGUUGGUUAGUUAAUGAUUCCUGAUUGUAUCAGGCUUCACCAUUAACAACAAUUUGACAAUAUUAAGUGGACAAUUAAUAGCUUCCAAUAAUGAUGAUUAAUGAAAUUGUAAUGAAAGAAUUGGAAAAAUUGGUUAAAAUCGAGUGAAACAAAGAAAGAGAAUCGCAAAUUGAGUAAUUCAAGAUCGCCAUUUUUGCUCAUUUCCAAGAUGAUGAUGUCGAUGCUAAAGAUGGAGAUGAAGAUGAGGAUGAGGAUGAGGAUGAAGAAGAAGAGAAAGAGAAGAAAAGAAUAGAAAGUAAAUGAUUGAAGUUGGCCUAUAAGAAGUCGAGGACUGCGCUGUUUGAGUUCAACUUUUAUUUAUCUCAUUGGUUUUCAACAUUAUCUAUAAAAUUAUUUUUACAAUUUA